CUCGAAAGGAAAUGAGGGACACAAAAGAAGCCCAGCAUGUGUGCUGCAAGGACAGUGGACACAGGAAAUGUGUGCAGACAGCCACAGCUCUGGGCUCACAACAAAAGAAAGCAGAAGUGUUUCUUUGUUUCUGCCACUCUGCUUCACCACCCCAGUGUAGGACGGGGUGACCAGGCCAAGGACUUACUUCAAACCUCUCCUGCUCCAUCCUGUGGUGAUCCUCAAGCUGCUGCUCCAGGAUCAAUUCAUUCCUCUGGGCUCGAGAGACAGAACAAGCAACAUCUGUCCUUACCAGAACCCUGUGGAUGGAUUUUUCACCCAAGAAGUUUCAGAUUUCCACCACAGAAACAUUCUCCUGGAUAACGACAUUGCUGAGGACGUGAGCCUACACAGACCUCAUCUUGUGACAAGAGCCCAGCGCAACAUCCUUAAUCGAGUUCUGAGCAUAACUGCACAUGCUUCUGACAGUGGCCA
rnacentral:lncRNA from 1 species